GGGCCAGACGACCGCGGGACGCGCGCCUUGGGUGCGCGUCAUGAGGAAAGUCCGGGCUCCACAGGGCAUGAUGCCGGCUAACGGCCGGGCGGGGAAACCCGACGGAAAGCGCCGCAGAAAAGAAGACUCCAACUGGCGCCGGGGCCUUUCGGCCCGCGCAAAGGGAAAAGCUGAAACGGUGGUGUAAGAGACCACCAGCGUCGUGGCAACACGGCGGCUUGGCAAGCCCCAUCCGGAGAAAACGCAAAUAGGAGCGCCAUGGUGUGGCCCGCACCGCGCUCGGGUUGCGCGAUAGAGGCGGGUGGCGACGCCCGCAGUAGAUAAAUGGUCGUCCACGACAGAACCCGGCUUAUCGGCCCACCU
rnacentral:RNase_P_RNA from 1 species